UACGUAGGGCGCAAGCGUUGUCCGGAAUUAUUGGGCGUAAAGAGCUCGUAGGCGGCUUGUCACGUCGGGUGUGAAAGCCCGGGGCUUAACCCCGGGUCUGCAUUCGAUACGGGCUAGCUAGAGUGUGGUAGGGGAGAUCGGAAUUCCUGGUGUAGCGGUGAAAUGCGCAGAUAUCAGGAGGAACACCGGUGGCGAAGGCGGCAUCCUGGACCGGCAUUGACGCUGAGGAGCGAAAGCCAGGGGAGCAAACGGG
rnacentral:rRNA from 1 species